UUUGAUGCUAAUAACCCUAUAUCUACAUCUCAUCCCGAUUCCUAUGUUCUUCCCCAUUUCUUUCUCCCCCGUUCCCCCUUCCAACAUGCGAUUUCCAGGGUUUCGGCCACAUCUCCGACCGACGACGGCGUGAUCUGCGACAACCGCUUGCUCUCCAGAGGUGGAAGGUUUUCGAUUGGUAAGCCCACUGCUCUCGGAUCUCCCUCUCUCGGCGACGGCGCGGGCCUUGCCGUGGCUGGCCGAAUAUUGUCCGCGUCGCGGGGCUGCCUGCCGUCGUGGGCUGUCCGGCGCCAGGCGCGUGCUGGCCACCGCCAGGCGCGUGCUGGAAGCAGAGAACGAUCCGUUCUGUUGUUGGCGAUCAGUCGAGUUUCCAGAAACAAAAUCGAAGUCUCCAUUCUGUUGUUGGCGAUCAGUCGCUGGAUCGUGGUCGAAUCCGGUGUCAAUUGAUGGUGAGGAAGCCCAGCAGCAGUUGCUGCGCCAUCUGCGAGGGUUCAAAUCUUGCAUCAAUUUGUGCUCCCUGCGUUAACCACAAGCUAGUGAUUUCUUUUGAUCAUCUUUGAUAUGGAGCUGGAUAUGGGCAAUUGUCGCUGGACGAUUUGCUCGCCAAGAAGAGGAAAGCAGAUCAGCAGAUUAACUGGAGAGUGAUGCAAAAUGUGGAACUCAAGGCAUUGAAGGAACGGCUAACCUACUUGAAGAAGAAACUUGUUGAAGGUUUGUUUCUUUGUAGAUAAGGCUAAGGUUUCCAAAGAAUCAAAUGAUCUGAAGUUGAAAUAUGGGUCAUUGGAAUUAGCAUUUUCUAUAGCAAAGGAGAUUUGAUGGGGAGCAAAGCUUUUGUGGCAGACGAAGAUGACUUGAUGUAUUAUUAGUUUAUUUACCUUCUUGAUGGAUGAUGAACUUAUAUAACAUUGGGUUGUUGAACUUUGUAUAAUAUUUUCUAGAAGCUUGAACAAGAUUAUUGAGAUCUUUAUAUUUGUUGAAUUAUGAGUUGAGUUCAAUUAUUAA